rnacentral:rRNA from 1 species
CCUACGGGUGGCAGCAGUGAGGAAUAUUGGUCAAUGGACGCAAGUCUGAACCAGCCAAGUCGCGUGCAGGAAGACGGCCCUAUGAGUUGUAAACUGCUUUUGUACGAGAGUAAACGCAGACACGUGUACCUGUUUGUAUGUAUCGUAUGAAUAAGGAUCGGCUAACUCCGUGCCAGCAGCCGCGGUAAUACGGAGGAUUCGAGCGUUAUCCGGAUUUAUUGGGUUUAAAGGGUGCGUAGGCGGUCUGUUAAGUCAGGUGUGAAAGCCCGGGGCUCAACUGUGGAAUUGCAUUUGAUACUGGUAGGCUAGAGAGCAGUUGCGGUAGGCGGAAUGCAUGGUGUAGCGGUGAAAUGCUUAGAGAUCAUGAAGAACACCGAUUGCGAAGGCAGCUUACCAAGCUGCUACUGACGUUGAGGCUCGAAAGCGUGGGGAGCAAACAGGAUUAGAUACCCCGGUAGUC